GACCAAUUUUCUAUAUUGCUCUUGUGUUAGUGCAGAUUUGAUACAUAGGUUUAUAUUAAAGCAUUUGAAUGCUAAUGUGCAUAUAAUGUUAUUUUUUCUAUAGUAACAACUGACACUCAGGGAUGUGCUGUAAUAAAAGUAUAACAGAUUUUCUUUCUUUCUUUCUUUUCUGAGAUUAUACUAAUCUUGUUAAUAUCUUUCUUUUUUCUUAAUCCGGCCACUAAAAGAGGAAAGAAUUUUUUUUCCGUCUCUACAGAGAUAAAAAAAAAUUAUUUCCUCUUGUAGUCACAGGAUUAAGAGAGAAAUUUAGAUAGACGCACUAUACAAAAUCGGUACAAUGCUAAAAAGUUUGUUUGUGUUUUUUUUUUACAAUACAUGUUUGUUUAUCUGUGUGUUCCAGUCUAAAAUCAGUCGUCUCCCAGGGUACCUGACUGUUCAGAUGGUUCGCUUCUACUACAAGGAGAGGGAGUCUGUUAAUGCCUCAAGCAGAUCAGUGAUGUCGUUGAUAUGGGGGCAGGAUCAGGGCAGGCUAGGGCAGGCUGGAAACUCUGGCCUGGAAUCAACCUGCACACAGACAUGUACAUGAACACAAUACAAUACACAAUUUUAUGGUUUAAGGAAUUGGAGGACAGAAAGCUGGAGGAACAGCAGCAGAAGAUCAAUAGGAAGGUCGAAGCUCCAAAAGAAGUGAAAUAUGAAGACUUUUCUUUUCCUAACGAUCUGGCCUCCAAUAAUAGCGAUUACUACGACCUGCAGGCUGUCCCGAAAGAUCAGGGCCGCUCAAGCUCCUCUAGCCAUUAUGUCAGAUGGGUCAAGAGGAAAGAAGGUGAUUUCUCAAAAGAAAUGAAAGUACAAAUAUUUAACUAACAGAACUCCACCGUAACCAGUCAGGCCACAGCUCCCACUCAGAACUCCACCGUAACCAGUCAGGCCACAGCUCCCACUCGGAACUCCACCAUAACCAGUCAGGCCACAGCUCCCACUCAGAACUCAAAGGAGCGGCAGAUCGGUGAUGAUGUCAUCGAUAUGGGGGCAGGCUAGACAUGAGCGUAAACAGAAGGUACACGAAAACAGUGUAUAAAAGUAGGACACGUGAACCAAGCAUGCAUUUCAAAUUCAGUUUCGGCGGAAUAUUUAAAUGGAAAUCUUUGUGGAGACCCAGGGAAGCAGGGUUGAAGACGUAAAGACCUAAGUGGGAUUCCCCUAGACCACCAGAUCCUGAUCCUGGGUGACACCAUCCUAGAGGACAAUUGCACCCUGUCAGAAUACAACAUGCAGGAGGGGUCGACCGUCUGCUUGAUUUAAAUGGAAAAUCUGUGGAGACCCAGUUCGGCGACGUCUUCCCCUAGAGGUCCAGGCAGGAAGCAGGGUUGAAGACGUAAAGACCGCCAUAUCUGCCCUAAGUGGGAUUCCCCUAGACCGCCAGAUCCUGAUCCUGGGCGACACUCCUGAGAUGUGCACUGUGUACCGCUUCGACAGAUAUACGUUCAACACCGAAUGACAUAAACACAACAGCUCUUUUAAGAUCCCUCAAACAUCUAUCAGUGAUAUAAUGAACACACUGAAUGAUAUACAGCAGUAACAUUCCAUUCAGAUGCCUCACCAAUGAUGUAAACAACCCAACCAACCAAUCAGCACUGUGUCCCUGCAAAUUGGAUUACAAUGGAGACCUUUGUGGAAACACGGACUGACGAUGAGGAAGACUCGAUGACGUAGAUUAAAUUGAUUCUCAUCAGCUGCUGGUCGUAGAACUCGGGCAGCUUGAGAAGGUUCAUGCAGGUGCUGGAGGUGGGAUGGUGCUCCAGAUCGUCCCCUCCAUUACGAUUGCAGAAGACAGGGUAGAGCUCUUGAAGAUGAACCGGAGGUCCUUCUUUAUCCCUUCUGUUCUUUCUCUCCCUUCUUCCUCUCCCUUCCUUCCCUUCCUCCCUCCCUUCCUUUCCUUCCUUCGUUUCCUUCCUUACUUCCAUUGUUUCCUUCCAUCUCUUCCUUUCUUUUCACUGGAGAGUGUUUCACUCCUCAGCUGUAAGUGUUUCUUCAGUUGAACCCUGACAUGUUCUAUAAAAAUCUCUUCCUCCUUCUUUCUCUCUGUCUUCCGUUCCUUCUUUCAUUUCUAUCCUUACUUCCAUUCAUUUCUACAGGCACAUCAUAAAACACACAUAUGGGGCAAGAGAGGUUUAAACUGGAGGGCAAAGGACAUAAAAAGGGAACAUUUAGUGUAUUUUUUUUGUUUGUUGUUUUGUGUGUGAUAUUUAAAUUAACAAUUGUUUCAUAUUAAGAAAAUAUUUAUUAAAGUUACUACCGUGUGUGAUUAGUGUAAAGAAACAUUAGAGUGUGAAUGGUGUAAAUGUGAAGCUGCAGUUCUGCUGGUAGUAAGAGACUGUAAAUGUUCAUUAAAGAUAUGAAAAGAACAAACUUACCAUCAUCUGGUCCUGAACAACCUCUGUGUGUCGGACCAGAGCCGGUUCCAUGGUCUGUUUAUACACUGUUUAUAAAAAUAAAUAAAUACAAAAUCCCACAUCAU